GGUGCUGGCUGGGCCCCUGCGUGUCUCCUGCCUCGUGUGCGUGCAGCUGAGACCCGCCAGCUGCUCGGACCUUUGGCUCACGCGAUCAUGUCCAAGGCAGAUGGGCACCUGUAUCCUCAUGUUCACCGCAUCACCAUGUGUAGCUGGGGCUUUCAUUACCAAGCUGACACAAACGUGGAAUUUUCACAAGCCUCCUGCAGGAAUCUGGGGAUAGAUAUGACCUGUGACAUUGCUGUAAUGGAGGUCAGUCUUGCUACAGCACUACAGAGCUCACUCAGCAUCAAGAAGGCACACAGCAACUUCUUGCAACUUUCGCUUGGACAUCGACACUUCCACCUCUCUAGACGGAACCGGAGAUGAGCUUUGAGUGGCUCCUCGUGUAGGUAACAGUAACACCAGUCGGUUUGGACACCGCAAGUACGGACUUGCGGGAAUCACAGGUUACAGUGUGUGCCUCUGACCCUGCAAGACCUGGAGGAGGAUGUCUGUCCUGGCUGCACUUUAGGCUAGGGAAGAGAAUGUCCAUUAGUGGGACAAAACCCACGAAUUCCCGCCCGUGUCGUACCCCUUGCCGAGCCAAGCUGCGCACGCGCAGCUCUCAUUGUACCUGCACAGCCCUGCACUAUUGAUCAAGACAAGAAUUGGAAACCAGCUGACUGUGAGGCUACAGGAGUAAACGCUGCAUUGCACAAUGAAGUGAAAAGCAACUGCGAUAAAAAAUCCCACCCUGAGCCUUCGCCGAGCGGUGCCUGGGAGCAAGGGCUGGUUUCUGUACAGUGCAGCUGGUGUUCGGCACAUCGUGCGGAAGGUCAGCAUCCACCGCCCGUUAACCUACAGAGUCUAGCUCUGGGAUCACCAAGCUGGAAAGCAACGGCAGCCUAUAAAGCAAUCAUUUGCAAUGACAGUGGGACAUACAGAGAAUUUAAAAAUGUGCCUUUAGUGGAGACUGCUACAUCAAAAAAAAACCCAAAAACAGAAAAAAACAGAAUGCUGAAGCAAAGAGCCACUCACCUUUUCAAGUUUCGCAACAAAUAUGUCCUUGAGAAACGCGUGGAGGGUAACUACAAAAGGAAAAAUUAGCUUAGCAUAGAAGAACUAAGCUGCUGGAAGCAGGAGAUGCAGCCCCUGCACUGCAGGCACCUGCAAGGGGAACGGGGAAAUGGUGUUUAGGAGCAGCUGUUUCCAUUGGCAAGUGGUUCUCGUGGUCUCCCAUGGAGUUAGGACCUUAAAAGGAGUGGAAGGGCACCUGGGAAGAUGUGCUAGCCCAAUACCCGUGCCUGGGGCAAACGCCCGACCGCUGUUCCCUGCCAGAGGAGCUUUUUGGAGCUGCGCCCGUGGGAAAUGGGCUUGCCAGGACCAGAGAGCCGCCACGAGGUUUCACGUGUGAAUAGGAGGCUUCAUGAAGAUAUGCCUUGCCUGCGGAUAAUUUCCUAAAGAGAGAUCGUGUUUGGGAGGAUCUAUUUCGUGCAAUGUCACGUCGAGCGGUUGCUCGGCAGGGGGUGGUGGGGGACGUGGAACGGGGAGGAGCAGAAAGGAAGGAGGACAAACUGUGUCCCGCUCCCCUCGCUUAGAGGGAAGCUGAGAGGAGACGUCUUGGGUAAUCCUCCUCCGUGGGGCCAGCAGCAGGAGCGUCCUCCACACCUCUUUUACCAGGCAAACUAGCUCGAUUAUCCUUCUACACCUCCACGUAUUUUGUUUUAGUUUCAGACUUACCAGGGAGCAGAUGAAAGUCACAGACCACAAGAAGGGCACCAGAGAUUUCUCAGUCCAGCCCCUUCGCUUUCCUCCUCUCAAGUGUUGCGUAUUCCUAUUUUAUUUUAGAAUAAGGUUCGCAGAAUUGGCUCAAGACGGCAAUCAGCUAGCAGAGCACAGCACGAAACCCAUCCCAAAGGGCCUCCGAGGGCCAAAGCUGCAUCCAGGAAUGUGCCAAAAAGCCUUGGAACAAUGGCCACGAGCAGCUGCAGCGGAUUUCUGCCGCCUCGAUGUUGCUCUGUAGAUGAAGAGGAGCUGAAAAAGGAGUAACUAUUACUGUGACCUUGCUUAUGGCUCAAAUGUCAUGGAAUCCUAAUUUUUAUUUAAGAGAGGCCAAUUUCCCUGAGAUUUUAAUUGGAAGAGACUGUGAUGCAAUGGAGCAGAAAUUAACCCACAGAACGUAUAAUUCAUCUCAUUUCCAAAGGUUUUUAUUGCUGAUCCCUUAGGCCCUAAGCACACCCUAGUCUGUGUUCAGGAUAAGAAAUACCUGAUUUCUCUUGUCUCUCAUCAAAUUAGGCUAGCACAGCCAGUACUUAAAGGAUUGCCGUUCCCCAGAAAACUCCACGUGUGGUCCCUGUUUCAGCUCAGCAGAAAAUUCAGAUAUUCUCAGACAAAAAUAUGUGAGGUUAUCUUAGUCUCAGGCUCAUAUCCCCGUGUUUUCUUAAGGUAGAAUAUUUCCAGCCACCUUGUUAUCCAGCUGGGAAUAGAAGAAGCUGUAUAAAUAUAGGUUCCCAUUGCCCAUCCAUACAUGCCAUGCUCUCCGAGGAGUGAAUUAUAUAUUGCUUCCAGAAUGAAGUAGCAAGGUCCAUCUUUCCUCCCAAGCUGUGCCAUACGAGUGCUUUCUCUGAGGGCGCCUUCCCAAGGCUGCCGCCUUUUUCUGUGGACCUGUUACCAGCAUGAAGAGGGGCACUCUUGUGCAGGGUGUGAAUCUUUCCUUGCCUCUGACUCACUGUUAUGUGAGCGAAACAGCAGGCCUGUCCAAGAGGAGCCCAUUCAGUCCUCGGUGUGUUCAUUCAUCUCAUUAUCCUUGUUUUCUUCCAUAUUAUUUGAAGAAUCGUAUUUAUCAAAUGGCUUUAUCUAAGCCUGAUGAUGUAUCUGUCUCUCUCCUUGACCCAGAGCUGAACGUAUUGUGCUGGUGCCUCCCUCCCUGGCACGGAGGCUGAGAUGCUGGAGCGGGCUGUCCCUUCUCCCUUAGUGCCACAGCCCUGGCUGGUAUGUCCUUGGCAGCUUGUGUAAUCUGCCUGUGUCUGCUGGCCACCCAUAACAUGGCAGUGACAAUCCUUGGCUCGCAGGUAGGAUAAAGUACCCUGCGUAUUUAGGGCCGUGUGAGCACAAACUGCUUGCUCUAGCAGCAAAGUAGCUAAAACCGGUAACCCUGCAGGACGCGAAGGGCAGCAGAGCGAAUGCAAAAUGCUUGGCUCUUGGCAUUCGCUGCAGAGGUUUCUCCUGACAUCCUGGAGGACCUGUGGAAGGGAAGGCCUUCCAGGAGCAUUUUCAAUAACAGAAACACAUUGACAUGUGCAUUGUGGGUGGAAUACGUCAAGCACGACCCCCCCUGCCCAUUUGGGGCAGCAUUUCUGCUGCUGUGUGAGGCUGGAGCCCACAAACACGGAGCUGGAAAAGUAAAGUCGGUCUUGGCUGUGCACCUUCCUAUCUCAGCCAUCUCCCUCUAGCAGCAGCGCCCUUGCACGCCGUCAGCCCAGCCUCAGUCAUUCCGUCAUUGUUUUCUUCCUGGAGUCGCUGUUUCUUCUCAGCCCUUCCUUCACCUGCGUCGGUCGGUCAGUUCGAUGCUCAGCGAAGUUACGCACCGCUCGCUUGACUUCACACUCGGACGCACAGUGCUCUCGCUUGUAGAAGUUGCUAACAAGUCCAAGCUGGUAUUUAAGGCAGCCAGUAAACAUGUCCUCGCUAGUGACUGAUGAGGGGUGUUUCUGCACAGACUAAUGCACAUAUUGAGACAGAUGCAUUUUGUCACGUCUUUACACCACUUCCUCCGGGAUAAGUUUUAUAGACGCAGUUAAGAUUUUUACAGCAUAUGAAAAGGCUCAGAGACUGAAAGGUAGGUUUGUACACCCUCGAGUUUUACAAAUGUGGUGUCAGCGGCGUUCAGAAUAACCUCUUGAAAGGCUUUUGCCCUCUUAACUUCAGGAAUGUAAGUUAAGUCCUGAAGAGUGCAGAAAUAAAAUACCCAACGUGGUAAGAAUUUAAAAUGGAAAAAAUGGGGUAUUUUACAGUUAGUACCUCAUUUCUAUAAACUUAAUUCAGCUCUUCUUUCGAAAGAGGUCUGUAGAUAUAAUCAAAGCUUGUAUGCCUUAGUUUUAAUUCAUUUCAUAUCCAUUGUAUUAUAUGGUGUUAUUUUUAUAGUAUUCACAUAUAGUUGACUUUUAGCUCAAAUCACUAGUGCAAUUUCAUCUUUUGCGGUUAUUCCUAGCUUUCUCAAAUGGGUUCUUUUGUCAGUCUCUAAAUAAUGGAAAUUUCUUAAGCUUGACCUAUUUGCCAUCUAGAAAGCACAGACUCUGAGAUGGAUUACCACUUAAGCCAUGGCCACCUAAAUUACAUGGAAGUAUAAUUAAUGACCAGCUUUAAUGACCUUUAUACUGUCAGGGCGAUGAAAAGUUAGCCUUUCUAGAAUUAAACAAGCCAAAAUCUGUUCUACUUUUCUGUAUAUGGGAGCUGAAGUACAGGGGAGGUAAAUUUCUGAAGCUGAUAAGAUUUAGUCCAAGACCUGAGUAAUCAUUGACUAAUCCGGGAGAAGCAUAGCAGGCUAUCGAUGUUUGAAGGUCUGAUUUACCUUUUGUGCUGAUAUAAUGUUUUGCCUCUAAUGGAUUCAUUUCUGAUUUAUACUGCUGUAGCCAAGAGAGAAGCCUAUUUCCAAGGCAGAAGAGAAGCUUGCUAUGAUGAAUAACAAGUGAGGUUUUCAAAAUUCUCUAAGCAAUUAAUUAACCCGCAGCUUCAAAACAGAAAUAUUCCCGGCACCGUGUUUUCUAGGAAUUCCUCCAAUAUUAUUUUAAAGGUCUCAGAGAGCCUUUGCCUGUUCCCACGAGCAACUGUUGUGCCAUCUUAAACAUGAUCCUCUCUGCAAGAUCCCCCAGCUGCUUCCUUUAAAGCGUUCCUGCUCCCAGCCUCAUCGCGUUUGGAUGCACUGUGGGAAAGGGGUGGUUCCGGAGCUGUCGUCCACAGCUCCCCCGCGGGACGUGGUGGCUGCGGCUGUCCCCGGCGUUACAGCCCCAGGCUGGCUGGCCGCAGCCACAUGCCACCCUGCCACACGGAGGGCUCUCCCGCCGGCCCCGGGUGGCUUCAAAGGGGAAAACGGAUUUGGGAACCACUAGCCGGAAUGGCAGAAGUCUCUUGGAAAGGCAAGUCAGACCCCUUGAAAGUCAGGAAGAAAAAAGAACCCGUUGCUAAACCUCUAGGAAGCAAAUGACGGGGCAUGGACUGGCCAUGCACGGGGGACGCCCACAGCAGGGUUUUGCCUGGGAUGAGCCGGAGCUGAGUGUCCCAGCGCCCGGGAGCACGUGUUGUGAACUGCUUUGCACAGAAGCGAGGUGUCCCCUGUCCUCUUGGCUGGUGGCUCCUUGAGUUUCUGAGAGGCAGCGCCUCGCACUUGGUUUCUACGUGUCACUUAACUUUUGCUUUGGGAAAGAAACGUAACUCUUGGGUGCGCGGCCAUGGGGGUUUCCAGCCUCCAGCUUGUGUGAUGGACUGGCAGUGUCAGUCCUUCUACUGAUGUUGUGCCAGAAGACUGGAGCUAACGCAUGUGUCAAGUGCAACAUGUCUUGUAACCUCUAGAGUAGAUGCUAUUUGACUGAGGUGUUUUCAGGCUUUUGCACCCAAUUCUGCUCUCAUUUAGACAUCUCUCCUGCUGCUCUGAUAUUACUGUUCUUCCUACAGCAGCUUAAAAAGUCUGCCUUUCACCUGCCUAUUGCUGUUUUAUCAGUACUUAGCGCAGGCAAACCCUCACUUGCUGCCUGAGUGAAGAACCUUCUGCGUCAUCCUCACGCCUGAUUCACCACCCUUUGUGAGGAGGUUUGUCCUUCAUUAACUGUUGCUCUUGCAUCUCCCCAGGUAGCAGAGUCUAGGGAAAGAAGAAGGAGACCCCUUGCAGGAGUUACCCACAGUUUACACUGAUGUGCCACUAAGAGGCAUGUCCCUCCUGUCGGGCUUUAACGGCUGUAGCUAUGCUUUCUAUAGUUCUCCACACCCCGGACAGAGCACUUGGAAAAAAAAAUGCAGAAGUCUUUGGUCAUGGUCAGUCUAUUUCUACAAACAAAUAAAAGAUCCUCAGCUAAAACUAGCCGAGAGCUUCAGACAGUCCAACCACUUCUUCCACUCCUGAAAACCCUCCUUCCUCAGGGCUGAAAUUCUGGUACUGUAAGAGCCAAUUCAGUACUUUGCCGCCGACUUCCGUAGGGGCCAGAUCUCUGCCCAGAUGUUCCUCCUUGGCUUUAACAUCUUCACAUCUUCCUGCACUCCUGGGCUCCUAGUACCACUUUGUUCCGCUCCCCGUCACACAUUUUAUUCCUUUUUUUCCCUCCACGAUUGACAAACAACUACUUCUGGCAAGCAGCGGAAGCGUCAGAGGAUACUCGCUGACAUCCUUGCCAGAUGAUGCUUCCAUACAAGUGGGUCAGUGUCGUGACUGGCGCAAUCGUUCUGGGGGAUACUGUGCCCUCAUUCAUGACAACAAUCAGGCUCUCAAAAUCCCUCACAUAAAAUAGCUGGCAAAGGCAUCCUGUUAUCUCUCCUUUUUGACUGCUAGCUGGUACAGGCUGCCCUGCCUCACGCGCUCUGCACUGGGUACAGCUAUGUGAAGAUUUCAGUUUAGUUCUUCGGCUGCUUCUUCUGCUGGGUCGGAUCUAAUUGCUGUCAGGAUGCAUAGCUGGUGCUUCAGGUGGUAAUGGGAAGACCUAGGAAAUGCUUUUGAGCUUUAAAAUCUCCUUAAGACAGCUUCUCCCCCUUCCAGAAAGAGGAAGCUUCUGAAACUUGUAAAAAUAAUUGGUCAAUGUGGGAGAGAACUUAGACUGUAAUACUAAUGCGCUAAAAUUCAAUCACUGUGCACACCGUGGCAUCACUUCAGUAGAUGCAGCUUAGCAAGCAUUAGAUUUACAACCAUGUUUUUGCCAGCUUGGUCUGCAGAGCUAAAUUCUUCAGGACUUUCCUGGAUUUUUCUCAGCCAGGUAGACCUCAUCUGCCUCCCUUUCCAAUCUGAAUGGCCUCCCACAUACAGUCCCCUUCUCCGGCUGCCUGGCUUUGCCUCCUUUGGCAUUCGGAUCUUAGCCCUUCUUUUCAUUUUCCCUGGCAGUUUUGGCUUGACCACUGCUUGAAAGACAGAGGGGAAAAAACCAAUUUUCGGGGAAUUGUCCUAAAAAUCAAUUGGUGGAGUUUCAGGCAACUUAACCUAACGGUUAAUUCAAGCCCAAGUGCUGCAGGAGUGGGAGCGGUUUUUGAGGACUGACAGCUCCUCAUUAACAUCUUGCAGGACUGCUGCGGCUCGAAAGAUAAGGGAUAAUAAGGUCGGCUGAUACUUAGCGUGUUUGGUUCUUCGGUGUCUCCAAGCACUGUCCCUGCUGGCUCUGGGCCCGUCUUUGUUCCUUGCUUUGGCAGUAUAUUAUAGGGCAAGGUACAGAGUAGGUAGGACUAAGAUUGCUGUUGUCAUUCCCGGUUUGUUUCUCUUUUCUGGGUCCGUAUGGCAAUUUAGUCCAUUUGUUUUGGUACAAAGAGCAAUUAUGGAGAUAUUGCGAGCUCCUAGUUGGACCACUUCAGUGUUUCCCUGGGACCAGCUAUAACUGUUUAAGGUAGUUUGAGUGUCUAAUGGGUGUAAUUAAACACACAACUCUUAGCAGCUAAUUUCUAUACCUAGCAGAUCUUUGGACUGUGCCAAUUUAGGAGGCACAAUAUGUGCUGUAACUGUGGCAGGAGUUAGCAAUAAAUCUCCAAGGAAACCCCCUGGACACAUAGUGCGUAAAAAUCUCGGUCUGGUCACGGACUAUUGACACACUCAAAGGUACGAUGCCGAUGCAGUGACCUCGAGUUGAGACCCAAUGCGAGGAAAUCAGGAAUGUGCAAUUUAAAAGGAUGAUAACAAUUUCCAAUACAUAAGCAUGGAAGGAUGCCUUAAGGAGUGAUUAAUGUGACAUCCCAUUAGCUUUAAGUACUACAGAACAUCUGGCAUAUUUCCCCCUUGACUGCAAAUUUCUGAGCACUGGUGUUAUGUCAUCUUACAGUAUUCAUUUUCUCCCUGUCUCUAUGAAUCACCGCAGCAAUUGUUCAUAUGAAGGCAAUUAUAUAAAUGCAUUUGAUUAAACUA